ACAGUUGCUAAGACAGGAUAGGAAAUUAAGAGGCAUCUUUUAAUUUUUAAAAGACCUUUUUCGAAAGGUAUACUUAAAGAGGGGCUUGCGCCACAUUAGUUAGUUGGUAAGGUAAAGGCUUACCAAGACGAUGAUGUGUAGCUGGACUGAGAGGUCGAACAGCCACAUUGGGACUGAGACACGGCCCAAACUCCUACGGGAGGCAGCAGUAAGGAAUUUUUGGCAAUGGAGGAAACUCUGACCGAGCGACGUCGCGUGAACAAUGAAGUACUUCGGUAUGUAAAGUUCUUUUAUUGAAAAAGAAAAAAUAGUGGAAAAACUAUCUUGACAUUAUUCAAUGAAUAAGCCCCGGCUAAUUAUGUGCCAGCAGCCGCGGUAAUACAUAAGGGGCGAGCGUUAUCCGGAAUUAUUGGGCGUAAAGGGUGCGUAGGCGGUUUGAUAAGUCUAUAGUUUAAAUGCAGUGCUUAACGCUGUAGCGCUAUAGAAACUGUCUGACUAGAGUUAGAUAGAGGCAAGCGGAAUUCCAUGUGUAGCGGUAAAAUGCGUAAAUAUAUGGAGGAACACCAGAGGCGUAGGCGGCUUGCUGGGUCUUAACUGACGCUGAGGCACGAAAGCGUGGGGAGCAAACAGGAUUAGAUACCCUGGUAGUCCACGCCGUAAACGAUGAGUACUAAGUGUCGGGUUUCGGCUCGGUACUGAAGUUAACACAUUAAGUACUCCGCCUGAGUAGUACGUACGCAAGUAUGAAACUUAAAGGAAUUGACGGGACCCCGCACAAGCGGUGGAUCAUGUUGUUUAAUUCGAAGAUACACGAAAAACCUUACCAGGUCUUGACAUAAUUUUGCGACAUUAUAGAAAUAUAAUGAAGGUUAUCAGAAUUACAGGUGGUGCAUGGUUGUCGUCAGCUCGUGUCGUGAGAUGUUAGGUUAAGUCCUAAAACGAGCGCAACCCUUGUCGUUAGUUGCGACCACGUAAUGGUGAGCACUUUAGCGAGACUGCCAAUGAAAAAUUGGAGGAAGGUGAGGAUUACGUCAAAUCAUCAUGCCCCUUAUGAUCUGGGCUACAAACGUGAUACAAUGGCUGUUACAAAGAGUAGCUACAACGUGAGUUUUUAGCCAAUCUCAAAAAAACAGUCUCAGUUCGGAUUGAAGUCUGCAACUCGACUUCAUGAAGUUGGAAUCGCUAGUAAUCGCGAAUCAGCAUGUCGCGGUGAAUACGUUCUCGGGGUUUGUACACACCGCCCGUCAAACCACGAAAGUUGAUAAUACCCGAAAGCGGUCGCCUAACUUCGUCAGAAGAGGGAGCCGUCUAAGGUAGGAUCGAUGAUUG
rnacentral:rRNA from 1 species